rnacentral:rRNA from 1 species
UACGAUGGAGGGCAGCGUGUCUCGGAAUCACUGGGCGUAAAGCGCACGUAGGCGGCUUACUAAGUCAGGGGUGAAAUCCUGGAGCUCAACUCCAGAACUGCCUUUGAUACUGGUGAGCUUGAGUCCGGAAGAGGUGAGUGGAACUGCGAGUGUAGAGGUGAAAUUCGUAGAUAUUCGCAAGAACACCAGUGGCGAAGGCGGCUCACUGGUCCGGUACUGGACGCUGAGGCGCGAAAGCGUGGGGAGCAAACAGGAGUUAGAU